AGUGAACGCUGGCGGUAGGCCUAACACAUGCAAGUCGAACGGCAGCACAGUAAGAGCUUGCUCUUACGGGUGGCGAGUGGCGGACGGGUGAGGAAUACAUCGGAAUCUACUUUUUCGUGGGGGAUAACGUAGGGAAACUUACGCUAAUACCGCAUACGACCUACGGGUGAAAGCAGGGGAUCUUCGGACCUUGCGCGAUUGAAUGAGCCGAUGUCGGAUUAGCUAGUUGGCGGGGUAAAGGCCCACCAAGGCGAGGAACCGUAGCUGGUCUGAGAGGAUGAUCAGCCACACUGGAACUGAGACACGGUCCAGACUCCUACGGGAGGCAGCAGUGGGGAAUAUUGGACAAUGGGCGCAAGCCUGAUCCAGCCAUACCGCGUGGGUGAAGAAGGCCUUCGGGUUGUAAAGCCCUUUUGUUGGGAAAGAAAAGCAGCAUGUUAAUACCCCGCUGUUCUGACGGUACCCAAAGAAUAAGCACCGGCUAACUUCGUG
rnacentral:rRNA from 1 species